rnacentral:rRNA from 1 species
AAGCUCGUAGUUGAAUUUCGGGAUUAGUACGUUAGGUCGUGCCUUAGGUACGUACUGGUGUUACUGGUUCCUACCUUCUGACGAACCAUCAUGUCGUUUAAUUUGGUGUGGUGGGGAAUCAGGACUGUUACUUUGAAAAAAUUAGAGUGUUUAAAGCAGGCUCGCGCUUGAAUACAUUAGCAUGGAAUAAUGAAAUAGGACGUUGAUCCUAUUUUGUUGGUUUCUAGGAUUGACGUAAUGAUUAUAGGGAUAGUUGGG